CCUACGGGUUGCACCAGUGGGGAAUUUUGGACAAUGGGCGAAAGCCUGAUCCAGCAAUGCCGCGUGCAGGAUGAAGGCCCUCGGGUUGUAAACUGCCUUAGUACGGAACGAAAAGACUCUCUCUAAUAAAGAGGGUUGAUGACGGUACCGUAAGAAUAAGCACCGGCUAACUACGUGCCAGCAGCCGCGGUAAUACGUAGGGUGCGAGCGUUAAUCGGAAUUACUGGGCGUAAAGCGUGCGCAGGCGGUUAUGUAAGACAGAGGUAAAAUCCCCGGGCUCAACCUGGGAACGGCCUUUGUGACUGCAUGGCUAGAGUGCGGCAGAGGGGGAUGGAAUUCCGCGUGUAGCAGUGAAAUGCGUAGAUACGCGGAGGAACACCGAUGGCGAAGGCAAUCCCCUGGGCCUACACUGACGCUCAUGCAUGAAAGCGUGGGGAGCAAACAGGAUUAGAUACCCCAGUAGUC
rnacentral:rRNA from 1 species